CCUGUUCUCAUCCUCAUCUCGUCGAAGGCGUCGCCCAACCCCGAGCAUCUCAGUCGGCAUCGCCCAACCCCGUUUUGUUCCCUCUCCGACCAUGACGAUGACCACAAAGAAUCUCCGCCCAUGAAGCAUCUCCGGCUACGAAGAGGAAGGAAGAGAUUAGGAGUUUGGUCCUUUUGGCCUCCGAAGAGGUGGCUAGGCUGAGCUCGAGGUGAAUACGGAAUCAAGUUACAGCGUCGUUUCCAUGGUUACUCUGAAUCAAUGUGUCGUUGUUUAUUUCCCCACCACUACUCGCUGUGAUCAAUGUAAAGUGGUUUGUCACUGGUAUUUAUUUUGACUUGCCAUUAUUAGAUUUUGAUAAUUAAAAAAUUGUGUGUUAUAAUUAAAUGAUUUGCUCAGUUUAGUUUUUAUUCAAUUAGAAUUAGAUUUUUGCGAGGGACGUUUUAUAGUGUCGAGUGGGGACUUUGAUACAGUUAAGCUUAAUCCUCAUCAUUCAAGCACUAUAACAAUACUCAUUGACUAAUCUCAUAGUGUCAUGUAGUUUCCAGAGGCUGCUUCCAUCAUAAUACACAUAUACUAAGUAUUUUCUUAUUAUUAACAUAAAUAUAUAUGUGGAAUUGGAUUGUGUUCAGUGUUCUUCAAGGAAGCGUAAGUGAGUUUUGCUUCCACAAUUGCAAACCAGCUCCAGUCAUAAUUGUUCCAGGCAAAGGUGCCUAAGUGGGAUUCAAUAGUGGGUGUUUUGAAAGCAUCUGCUAGUGUACAUACCUUGUUUGGGAAAAUGCCUGAAACAAUGACAUAAUCAGAUUUGUAUGGUAGAUGGCUCAUAUCCUGAUAUGUUGGUCUAUUAUGCAGACUUUGGUGUGGUGAUGCAGGUGGUAUGAAGAGGUCAACUUCUGUAAAUGAUUCAACUUGCACACAAUAUCUACUUUUAAUAUUUAGUUCAAAAAAAAUUAUGCAGACUUUGGACCACAUUGAUGGUGAAUUUAAGAAUUACAUUUCCCUAUAUAUAUACAAUAGAAUAUGGAAAUUUAAAGAAAAGUAAAUAUGCAUACUUUGAUGUUAUGCUCUGUUUUGCUGUUUGAUGUUUGAUGUUUAAGUGCAUUUUUAAAUUUGUUUUGAUUUUAAAAUGUUAUUGUUAGGGUACUUUCACAGGUGUUGUUUGAUCCAGAACUUUGGUCAGUGCUUGGACUUGCUGGCUACUAACUAUUUUAACUAUAAAAAGGUGUACUACAAGAAUGUAUAGGGGCUUUUAGCUUCUGAGUUGGAGAUAGGGGCUUCACAUUCUUUUUUAUGUUUGUUUGUUUGCCUAAUUUAGUGUUAGUUUUUUUUUUUUGUUCAUUUAGUUUGGUUUGUAUUGGGGUAACUUUUUUUUGUUUUCCAUGUUAGCAACUCUGAUCCAUGGAGUUUGUUGUUGUAGUUCAUAGACAAUACAAUUCAAGCAAGGAUUAUGUAAUUGAAUUUUUUAUGAUUUCUAUUGUAAUUUUUAUGUAUUGAAUAAAUGUGUUCAAUAUUAUUUAAAUAUA